GCUCUUUCUUUCCAACCUUAUUUCUGGCUCCAAACCACACAGGACCAGGAUGUUGACUAUGUGUCAACAAAGAAAAGCUGAAUUUGGCAUACCUCCUAGAGGACAGUGCACUCGAGCUACCUUUUUUUGUCCUUUGCAUGUUAUAAAAACAAAAACUUGAGCCCAUACUAAAGCCCUGAGCAUAACCAGUCCCUUACCCCUUCAGAGCACUACGGAAUUUAUCCUGUAUGUCUGUAUUUAACUGUGUUGUAAACAAUAUGGAUGACUAACAAAUCUAAAUUCAAGAACAGGCUCAGAUACUUAGAUUGAUAGCUUCAGUAUACAUAGAAAGGAUGAACACUGAUGUUGUCAUUGGUCCUGCUUUCCUUGUGUAUCCAUGAAGAUGGAGCUAUGGAGUAAGUGCCAACCAACACAAAGAUAUCUGUUCAGUCCUAAAUUCAAGUGUGGUGAAGAAUGAGAAAUUUCACCCUGAUAGAUCUACUGUUACAGCAUUAUAAACUUUCCUGUUCUUCUGAAAGCGGUGCAGCUGUCCCCGAGGGUGCCAGAGAUUGUAAGAUCAGACACCUAAGGAGAAGAGUUUACACAGUUUUGCAAGAACGAGCUGCGACAAGACAUAAAAAUAUGGUCCAGGAGAAAAAAGCUAUAGACAUAUGGACAGAAAUAAAAAGAAGAGGAAGUAAUUUCAGAGAAAAGCUUAAGGAGGACUUGAAAAAGGAGAAGGCACUUGGCAACUGGGGACAAGAAAAUUUACCUCAUGCAGCCUCGUGGAAAGGAAGUCGGUUCUUACUGAGGUAUUGAAAAAUCCUAUUGAAUUAAGCUUUUCCUUUAAGAUGCCUUGCUGGAGCUUUCUGUGUGAAAAACAAUCAGCCUGCUAACUGCAGGCUCCAAGUGAAUAUGUGGGAAAAGAUUUUUCUUUCUAUGAUAUAGGUUACACUGACAUGUAGACUGGAAGCUUAAUACUGUACUUUAUCAUUAGUCCAAUGAAAUUACAGAUAUCAGCUCCUUUAACAAAUUAAAGUUAUACCACAUGGAGAAAAGGAUUAAACCACAUACAAAAUUAAGGCUAUAGUCAUUCUUUUCUGGUUUUAGACCCACUGAAAUGAAAAGGGCCAGUUUGGGAAAGUUGCUAGUAGACCAUAAUCACAAGUGUCAGAAUAAUACAUUUUUAUUUAAAAUAGGAAAUGUUGAUUAAUGAACAUACUUAACAGAUAAUGAGUAAAGGUAUUGAAAGCAUCUAUGUUCUAUCAAAUUUCAGGGGAAACAUUUAAUUUAUAUGUUGAAAAGACAAUGAGAAUUGAAAGUCUUUAAGGUAAAGCUAACCAACACAUGCAGUUAAAACUGAAGGACACAGUAGUUUCAUAAGUACUUGAUUAGAAGCCCCUAGAUACUGAGAAGCAAGAGAAAAUGUUUCCAGUAUGCAAGCCCAAUAAGUCUAAAAACAAAGAACAAAAAAGGAAAUUAUUUAGCUAUCAGAGUUGAAACUAAGGUAAGAGGAGCCAAUUGCUUUGGAAGCAAUUAAUUGAUUUAAAGGUGAGAUACUGAAGAAGAUGCUGUGUAUAUAGCACAUCAAAAUUAGAGAAAAAUAAGCAAUAAAUUAAAUUGAUGGUAAAGAAACUUCAGCCUAAAUGAAAAGUUAACUUAUUAAACCUUGAACAGAAAGGUCCUAAGAUUUAUUAAACCAAAUCCUCCAACAGUGUCUGCUGCAAUAGCUAUGUUGAUUUAAUUUGUGUCAUGACAAUUUAAACAUGUAUUAUGCCCUGAAAACACUAGCAUGAUAUUUUGCAUGCAAGACUUAUGAUCCUUAUGUUCUGGGAACUAGGAGUCCAUGAAUGUUACGUAGCUAGGAAUCUGAAACUACGAGAUGUUCACUCUCCUUUUUCACAUCUAGAUGUAAGUGGUGAUCUAUAACACACAGCUCACUGUGAUGACCACCUUGGCCUCACAUGCAUAGCAUGGAUUGUGUUCUUAUUGAUUCAUGUCAGUGUCUUGACAAGGAAACGAGUCAACAAGACUGUCCAUCCAAAGCAAGUAAAAUAAUUUUAAUGCUAUGAACAAAUUGCUUCCUAUAUGCUAAUAGACACCUGCAGAAGACAGGAAAUGAGAUACAGUGUCUGGCUGUUGAACACUCCUCCGACUAGUAACAACAGAAGCUUAUCGUAGCUUGCUGAGUCUUCUAGGGAAAAAACAUCUGUCCUAACAGAACAGGAAUCACAAAACGCUCUUUAAAUAAUGGUAGUUUGAAAUAAACUGGUAAUUACAUUUUUAAUGUGGAAUCAUCAUAAAAGCGUAAUAUAUUUCUAUGGUGGUUGUACUUGAUAAAUAAUAAUUACAGACAUUUGUUUUUACCAAGCCAUCACUUAGCUAAUUCUAACUUAAAUAUUUCUAAUAAAGUAUUAUAGGCAUAGGUUUAUUUCUACGUACAGCACAUGUUAUUUCUCAUAAGAAAGUGUAGUUGCAUGCAAUGAGAAAACAGUCAUGCCUAAAGCAAUUACAAUGCAGGAAAAAUUGGUGGUGAUGUUAGCUGAAAUGACAGCUACUUAGAGAAAGCAUAACCUGAAGUAGUGCUUCACUUGAAAGCAAAAUAGAUUAAUGUUAUUUUAAUAGUUGGCUCAAAUUUAAAACAUCUUAUCAGAAGCACAGUGUACAACUGAUAGUUUUCCACUAUCCAGUAAAAUAAUGAAAAUAGGAAAAAAAUGUUUUGGUAACUUGUAAUUGAGAACAGCAAAUGUGCCUUCUGUGUAAGAAAAAGACUGACCACUAAUUUGGAAAUGGUUCGUACUUCCAAAGUUUAUAGUUGCUUCCAUUAACAGUUCCAGCAACCUUUUUACUUUUGAUCUGAAGAAAGCUUUCUUGGCAAAUUGGAAAGGACUGGCACUACAGAUUCCUCCCUUGAAAGGUGCCUUUAUCACCUACCAAAAAGAAACUGAGUAAGAAAAAAUUACUGUUUAUUAUUUCUUGAUAGAAAUUACAAACUCUGACAAAAUAUAUUUGUUUGAACUUUGAUAUCAUCAUUAUUUAGUCAUCUUUAUAUUGUAUGAUACUAUUCUGGGAUUGCUUAUUUCAUUUAUAUUCUAAUUUAAUUUAACACCAGGUCUUGAAUCUUUGUAUUAGUUAAUGAAUCCAAACUCAUGAGAAAUACAACAUGAGUAAUCAGCAAAUAAUUAGCAAAUUAAUUCAUUUCUAUUGUGUAAAUGGAAAAACAAGGUAAUGCUCUGUAUAAAUUAGUGCACUCUUUUUCCUCCUGCACAUUAGGUGAGUUAUUUGCUGAAAUAAGUAGCAGAGUUUGCUCUUCUUAGCAAUCUUGGGAAAGCAGUUACCAGCUGAAUUUCAUAGCUAUUAUAUGGGGAAAAAAAGCAGGUGUGUAGAAAUUAGUAGUUUCCUAGGAAUAUUUAAGGGAGAACUUUUUUAAAAUUCAUACGCACAAAAAAGACUAAAUAGUAAAUAAUAGAAAUGUGAUUAGUUCUUAAACAGAAAUGAUCACGCUCUAAGAACAUGUUCAAGAAAGUAUUUCAGCACUGAAGUCCAAGAAAGCGAUCCACAACCCCUACAAAAUAUUUAGGCACCUUGCUUUCUACCGGUAGCUUCGUUGCUACAGCAAAUUUCUUAGACAUAUAUUGCUCUGGGACUAUGCAUGCCCCAAAGUACAGCUCUUUUGGGAGAGCAGAGCAUGUCAAUUCACACUUUGUGCCUAAGACAAUUUGGGAUUUAUAAAGCAGCUAUCCUUCUGCCUAUGUCUCCUGAAAGGCAUGUUUCAGCAGUCAUGCACCAGGAUCUCAAAACAUGCAUUGACAACCGUGAGUCAUACGUAAAACAUAGAAAGAGGUAGUGAGAGGUACACCUCCCUAUAUCCAUAUUUUUUAAUAUAACAAUGGGUAGAAGUGAGAGAUUUGAUUUCUGUGAUUUCCACCUCCUGGAAGUUCAACUCAUACAUGCCUGUGAGGAGCUAACACCAGCUCUAGAUUAGGCUGAAGGGGAGGCAGCAGUCAAAUGUGUAAGCUUUUAUAACAUCUAGAUGUGUCUUUUUAAUGAUCUCUUUCUUUAUUUUCUGUGUUAGGUUCAUCACUGUACUUUCCACUGGGAGCAAGUUAUCCCUUAUUUUCAACUGAAAAGUUAAUAUAGUUCUAUGUUGGCAGAAAUAUUUUGUCACUUAAUAUCUCUUUUUCUUGCCUCUGUUGAUUGCUAAUUCUGUAUGUCUUCUUGGAGUUCAGCACUUGGGAGAUACUAAAGAUCAACUUCCAUAGAUGUCAAUGGCAACUGAGUUUUUCAACAAGAAGAGCUGAUGGCAUUCAAUGCAUCAUUGAAUGUAAUAGAUUCUACAUUUGUCUUUUUUUCUUCUUCAUCUUUAUCUACUGGACCUAAAUUAUAUUCAGUUGCAUCAUUUCCAAAUGAUUUUUUUUCUGUGAGAGGUUCACCAAAGACAGUAAAAUUUUAUUUCACUGUGUGUUAAUAAACAUUAUAAAUUCUUGUGCCCUUAUGUUCAAUUCUGAGAAGUAACACAAGAAAAAAUACUUCAUACUAUCUUUUUUAGUAACAGCAAAAAUACUUCUAUUUUAACAUAUAAUACAACACUUUACUCACUUGCUGGGCCUGAGUCCAGAAAACCCUUUGAGAAUGUAGAUCUUAAUAUACUGUCUAAGAAAACAGUCGUCUACUAUUCUCAAAAACCAAAAUCUUCUACUUCACAUAAUACCUGUUUUAGCAACUUAGAGACAUAAUUUUUCAUACUUAUUUGCCUCAUAGAUUGGAACUGCAGUACAGACAAUCACAUAGCAAAAAAUAGGUUUUACAUGAAGAGUAUAGAAUACUUUUCAUAUUGAAAUCUUCUGUAUAUAUACCUAACAUACAGUAUAUAUACUGUUACAUGAGUUAUGGUGUAUACAUACGCACACAGGAACUUUGGCUUUAAGGUUCGAUAGCUGAGGACACAUCUUUGCUGUUGUGCAGUUCCUCCUCCACACAGUGAAUUUGCUCUGAGUCUUUAUUUCCACUUGCAUCAAAAUACCCAUAAAUGCAUUCAGAUUCUCUCUGAACAGUGUUGGGAGUUGCAUUUCCUUCAUUUCAGCUGAGCAGUGAGACAGUAUAAUCAAAGCAAAUGUGGCUUUGUCUGCUAUUUCCCUCCCACCUUCAAAGCUGUUGAUAGUGUGCAACUGUUACCUUAAACAGCAUUUAAUUUUACCAUCCAAAUACUACAUGAAUUUCAGGCAUAAAACGAAGAUGUGUAAGUUGAUGCCUGUGAGACGCAGAAGGACUGGCAGAAGGAGUAGCUGCGUGGGCUUACCCAGUGUACAGUGCCAUCAAUACAGUUUUACAUAGACCACCACAAGAGUGGAGUUACACGGUACAGACCCAUUCCAAGUCCUGACUGGACAUUUAAUUUUGGUACUGCCAUUUGUAAAUGUAUAUCUAUCUAUUAGGGACAGAAGAAAGAAAGAAAAGGAAGGAAUCUAACAAGGAUUGCCAAUUCAGAUCACAAUUUAUUCUUAGUGACAAACUUCCUUCACAGUUUCCCUAGGACUGAUUUCACCUGCUGGGCUAGAAUUGAAAGGGCAAUUUCACAGUAGAUGUAGCAUCCCCUCAAUCAUUUUUUUUUUUUUUUAAUAAAACUUACAGAUUUGCAGAUUUAUCCACAAAUUUUCUUUGCUCCUGCCAUCUGUACCACCAGAACAGCAAAAACCGUAAUCACCUGAUAGCUCAUCUAAACUGUUUCCAAUGACAACUGCAAUAAUUGUCAAUUUAUUUUUCUGCUCUGGUGUCCCAAAUCCUGUUACACAGGCUGGUAAUUUCAGGAAGUUGAGCAGGACUGGAGAAUCGAGACUGGCAUAUUCAAUGCCAAGUUUCAUUCUCUUUGGGUUUUGUUUCAUUCUGCUCUAAAAAUGCAAUACAUACCCAGGAUCUUUCCAACUCUCUCAUUCUGCAGAAGAGAAAAUCGUGCAUAGAGCAUUUUCCAGGCUUUCCUAAAAAUUGGAUCUAUCAUAGUAAACAUGAUCUAGAUGUUGAGGUAAAGUGUAUUUUGAAAACUUCCCUGUUGCCCCCAUCAUCCAGACCAGUGUCCUUCUCACCCUCCCACUUCGGUUUUCUUCUGUUGGAAACCAAGUGGUGGUAAUGCGGAGCAGAGUGCUCAGGUUCUAUUCCAACACCAAAUCAAAACAUGGUCUGAGCUUUCAAAGGGAUUUGGGAAGUGCCCCUGAAUCUCACAACAUAGUCAUAAGCUAUAGUUACAAGCCUGCCUUAGUGUCCCAGCUGUAUUGAGUGGAUUGUCUGAUGCUAUCAGGUACCAGACAUCUUUUUCAGCUCUGAAGGAGGAAAAAUGUCUCCAUUCCUCCCUCCUCUGCUGGAAACUCAGCAUCUAAGCCCCAAACAACAGGACUGGUUUAUUUACAAAUCCCAGAUAAAUUAUCUGAGACUGUAAAUGGCACUGUCUCAUGUUCUACCAACGUUUAGGAAAGAAAACCAAUGAAACUUAAACAUUCAUUAGAUUUCUAAAUGAAACUGCAAAGCAAUAGUAAAGAGGGAGGAACUGUAAGGCUCAGUUUGUGCCUAUCAGUAUUACAAAUAAAUGCUUUACACUAAAAAAAAAAUA